CUACGGGAGGCUCCAGUGGGGAAUAUUGCACAAUGGGCGAAAGCCUGAUGCAGCAACGCCGCGUGAGGGACGACGGCCUUCGGGUUGUAAACCUCUUUUAGCAGGGAAGAAGCGAAAGUGACGGUACCUGCAGAAAAAGCACCGGCUAACUACGUGCCAGCAGCCGCGGUAAUACGUAGGGUGCAAGCGUUGUCCGGAAUUAUUGGGCGUAAAGAGCUCGUAGGCGGUUUGUCGCGUCUGCUGUGAAAAUCCGAGGCUCAACCUCGGACCUGCAGUGGGUACGGGCAAACUAGAGUGCGGUAGGGGAGAUUGGAAUUCCUGGUGUAGCGGUGGCAUGCGCAGAUAUCAGGAGGAACACCAAUGGCGAGGGCAGAUCUCUGGGCCGUAACUGACGCUGAGGAGCGAAAGCGUGGGGAGCGAACAGGAUUAGAUACCCUCGUAGUC
rnacentral:rRNA from 1 species